AUCACCUGGGAACCUUCUUAAUAUGCAGAUUCUGAUUCAGAAGGUCUGGAGUGGGCCCUGGGAUUCUGCCUUUCUAAGAAGCUCCCAGGGGAUGCGAA
rnacentral:pre_miRNA from 1 species